UACGAAGGGGGCUAGCGUUGCUCGGAAUUACUGGGCGUAAAGGGCGCGUAGGCGGACAGUUAAGUCAGAGGUGAAAGCCCAGGGCUCAACCCUGGAAUUGCCUUUGAUACUGGCUGUCUUGAGUAUGGGAGAGGUGAGUGGAACUCCGAGUGAUAGAGGUGAAAUUCGUAGAUAUUCGGAAGAACACCAGUGGCGAAGGCGACUCACUGGCCCAUUACUGACGCUGAGGCGACGAA
rnacentral:rRNA from 1 species